GUGCCGAAGCUUNACGGCAUAAAGCAUUCCNNCUGGGGAGUACGGUNNCAAGGNUGNNNCUCAAAGNAAUUGACGGGGGCCNGCACAAGCGGGUGGAGCAAUGUGGUUUCNAUUUNGAACGGCAACGCGGAAGAACCCUUACCCCAGGCUCGAAACGGCAAUUUGACAUCCUGCGAAAGCAGGCUCCCGCAAGGGCAAUUGUCGAGGUGCUGCAUGGCUGUCGUCAGCUCGUGUCGUGAGAUGUUGGGUUAAGUCCCGCAACGAGCGCAACCCUUGUCCGCUGUUGCCAUCAGGUUAAGCUGGGCANNNCUGCGGAGACUGCCGGUGAUAAACCGGAGGAAGGUGGGGAUGACGUCAAGUCAGCAUGGACCUUUAUGUCUGGGGCUACGCACANCUGNUGACUACAAAUGGGCCGAAUAACAAAACCGGUUCGGCGAAAUAACCCGACAAAGGGGUGGGAAAGACCUAAAUUCNGGAAGGAAAAAGGUUCGGGGUUCUCCAAGGUUCCGGGAUUUGCAGGGGCUGGCNAACNGCCUGNAGUGAAGG
rnacentral:rRNA from 1 species